AUGAGAACAUGCCCUUCGGGGUAGAUCUCCCACCCUUUGUUUAUUAUACCUUUGUUGCUUUGGCAGGCCCGUCCUCGGACCGCUGGCUUCGGCUGGCCCGUGCCUGCCAGAGGACCCCAAACUCUGAAUGUUAGUGUCGUCUGAGUACUAUACAAUAGUUA
rnacentral:misc_RNA from 1 species